CGCACUUUUUACGUGAAACAUCAUUUUGAUUUAAUGUUACCAGAGAAAGGAUGAACUUUUGGGUACACACUGUACAAAUGUUUGUUUAAAAAGGUUUCUUUCUACAUCUUAGCUCCUGGCUGAAGGGCACAAGCUCUUACGGUGUUUUUUGGAAAUUAAAUUCUUUACAAACAUCAGUUCCUGAGAGUAAAUUGCAUCUGUUCAGCCGGGAAUGCUACAUUGGCUGUGCGGCAUUUGGAUGCACCAAUCGGUCCAAGAAAGGGAUCCGGAUGUAUGGUUUCCCAAAAGAUGCUGACAGGAGAAAGAAAUGGUUAGCCCAAGUCAGCAGAAGCAACCUGACCAUCACGAAAGAUUACAACAACAGAAAACUGUGCGCAGUAAGUUAUGUUUGUAAUGCACAUUUGGACAUUUCACCUGUGGAUCAAGGUUCAGUGUGUCAUAUGUACAAGACUGCAAUGAAAUUGUGAUUUGACAAUUAUGAUGUAAUGUCUGGAAAAUGUGUGGAAAAUAACCUCAUAAGCAACUCUGCAGGCACAUUUUGAGGGAGAGCAAUUCUCAAGAACAAAAAAGGCCAUCUGAUAUUGAAAACCGACGUUGUUCCAACCAUAUUCGUGCAUCGCCCUGAGCCCAAGAGGCGGAAGGGUCCUGCCGUGAGAAGUACCACAGAACCUCCAGUUCAUGCAGUGGCCAGUGACCACACGUAUUGUCCUAAAAUGAACUCCGGUAUGAAUAAUGUGAAGUCAAACUUUAAAUAAUAUUUCUUACUACAAUGACUAGCCUAUACACUCUCCAUGUAACACUAACAAUGCCAUAUCAUCAUUUCAGACAUUGGGGGAGGAAGUGAGGGAAGUGAGGAAAGUGAGAGAAGGGAAAGUGAGAGAAGAGAGGAUAAGGAAGAACACUGUGAGCAAAUUGAGAGGGACAUACUAGGUGCCAGUGAGCCAGGUGCCAGAGUGCAGGGGUCAAGUGAACCAGGAGUCAGUGUGAAAGACUUGAGGGAGGAGUUGGAAAGACAAAAAGAUAAGACAAGGAGUGUAGAGGGAGCUCUAAAACGACAGAAAAAAAUUAAUUCUGUCCUACGGGAAAAAAAUGUAGUCACGGAAAAGAAAUUUGCCACAAUUUUUUUUCUAAAGAUCAGAUAAAAGCGAUCUGUAUGAAGAGUAAGAGGGGCAUGAGAUGGGGAAACACUACAGUCAAAAAGGCCAUAAAACUGCAUUUUGCCACCGGCUCAACAGGCUACAGACUGCUUCAAGACAUGGAGAUUCCUCUCCCUGAUAUCAGAACACUGCAGCAUAUAGGCUAUACUUUAUGCCAGACGUUCUACAUCUUAAGAACUUGAAGAGUGCCCUGGUCCGUGGACAGAUGUUCACAAUUCCUCCGGAUACGGUAGAGAAGGAGAAACUCUUCUUCAGUUAAGUUUCCGUUGGUCCACUGAAAGAUCUGGUGGAUUUUCAAGAGGGGAUGACACUGAAAAUUGCUCCAAAUCUAUCAAGUAAAACCCUUCAACCCAGUCAAUUUGAGAAGAUGAAGGUGGGCCCUGCAAUGAAUAUCUUUAGCAAGGCAACCAGUGCAGGCCUGAAAUACAUGGUGGAGCAGGAACAAAGACCACACUCUUACCAGACCACAGCAUGGUUUCUGGAGCAGGUGGACCACUGGUUUGACAUCAUGUCCUCUCGCCACCCAGUAAUGGCACUCAGCACACACAAGAUCGAGGAGUACCAAAAGGCCAUAAAGUUCCUUCAGGACACCAUCCAACUCUUCCGUGGGCUGAAGAUUGGACGAACGAGUAGCUGGAAGCCUGUGCAAACAGGAAUUGUGAUGGCAACAUCUUCAAUUAAAAAAUCCAACUUGCAAAAUGUUGGCUUAGUUUAAAAUUGUAAGUCAAGUGGACAAAUUUUUGAGCACAGUAUUGAGUUUACUUAUAAAAGCUAUUUAACUGCAUGUUGAAUGCUACUUUGUCCACUGAAUAUAAACAAUUAAGUUGAGAAAACUUAAUAUUUUGAUUUCUAAGUUCGACCGCUUAACUUUUCUGUUAUUGCGCAUGCGCGGUCUGUCGUCCCGGUAACGCGCGGGGUUUCCCCUCUCCAAUCACGCUGAUGAAGGUAAUGGAUUUCAGCGUCUGUUCGAGGCCUAACGUUACAUGUGCAGUAAACACGGCCAAGUAAGGAUGUGUUUGGAAUGCAGUGUAAGCUUUGCAAAUUUGCCCACAGUAUACUAGCAGAGAGGUCCUCUUGAAACAUUACAGGUUUCACCACUAUCAAGGGUGAUCCUGGAAGCAGCCUUGCUUGUUACUGACUGCAUCUGCACUUUCAAAACCGUAGACCUCAGAUAUCCUUGCUCAAAGAAAGGCAACAGCUCUCAAAGGGCUCUCUGUGUUAAUGAGGGAAAAGUCAGAAAACGUCCUGAAGACCUGCCUGGUAAGAAAAUGUGUUAUUAUCAGCAUACACUAUCCAAAACAACUGUUCUAUCAGACAAGAGGCAGGGAAAAGAGUAGAAAGCAGAAGACAAAGUAAAGGACACGGAGCCAGAAGACAGUUACACAAAGAGGAUGAAGAUGGGGAUCUUAAGCAUCAAAGAUGAUGUUUCCAGCAUCCAUUCCAACCCAAAUGUAAGGUGCUUCUGUUCUAGAUGAGCUAGUUGUGCUGGAGAUCUUCCCACUUCUUUUAAUUACCUCUCUGGCUUGAUUUAUUGCCUGAACUUGAACUAUCCUAAAGAGCUUAAAUAAACAUUUGAAACCACUAAUUAGUAGUUCCUGUUGUUUCAAUAACAGUUGUUCCUUAACAGUACAUGUCCCAAAAAAAAAAAAAAGCUUUGAGUUGUAAUGUAAGGCCCAGUGUUGUUUUAGCAGUUGUAAUUCUUGAUUUUUUUUUUUUUUUUUUUUGAGUUCAGCCAAAAAUGAAAAUUCUGUCAUUAAUUUCUCACCCUCAUGUCUUUCUCAGAGGGUCAGUAAGGCCUCUGUUGCCAGCAAUGUUACUGCACCUCUCAAGAUCCAUAAAGGUACUGAAAACAUAUUUAAAACAAGUCAUGUGACUACAGUGGUUCAACUUUGUUAUAAAGCUUCAAAUACUUUUUGUGCACCAAAAAAAAUAAAAAAAUAACGACUUGUCAACCAUAUGUAGUGAUGGGUGAUAUCAAAACACUUCUUUGGAGCUUUAUGAAUCGAAUCAGUGGUUCACAUGAUUUCAGCAGUUUAAUAGUUUGAUACUCAAUCCAAAUUACUAAUUCAAAACAAAAGAUUUGUAAAGCUCUGAAGCUUCAUGAAGCAGUGUUUUGAAAUCUUGAGAUGCAGUAACAUUGCUGGCAAAGCAGGCCUCACCAAGCCAUCGGAUUUCAUCAAAAAUAUCUUAAUUUGUGUUCCGAAAAUGAACGACAUGAGGGUGAGUAAUAAAUUACAUUAUUUUAUUUUUUUUGGCCUUAAAAGUCUUGUUUAUUGCUCUUUAUAGCACUUUAAGAACAAUUGUUUUACUCCAGCACUUCAAAAGAAGUGUGUGUUGCUGUAUUAUGCCAGCACUUUGAAAAGCAUUACGAGAUAAGAGGAUUUUUUUUUUUUUUUUUUUUUUUUUUUUUUUUUUUUGCCUUUAAGUUUUGUUUUUUUUGUAAUUCAUCUUGAUCUUGUAGAACUUCAUGCUGACAGAAAAUAUGCCGUUUUGCAAGCAUCAAUAAAUAUGUUCUAUAAUGUUGAGUAUUGUGUUGUAUUUGUGUUGUUUUUACUGUAUAGUAUGUACUCCAUGCAUUUGGAUUCCCAGUGGGAGGUCUAUACAAGUUUCUGUGGGAUAAUUGGAGAAAGUUGAGUUAACUUUAAAAAUUAAGGCAACCAGCUGCAAAGCUUUUUUGAGUUUACUGAACUUCAGGAUCUCUGUAGUUGUGCUUACUCAUUUCCUUGAGUUGGACUGGUUGUUAGGUGAACUUACUGAGACAGGUUUAAUUAACUUAAUCAAAUAAGUUUAGUGAACUUUAAAAAAUUAUUUGGCACAACUUUGACCACUGAAGUUGAGUAAACUCAAAAAUGCUUUGCAGCUGGUUGCCUUAUUUUUUUUUUUAAGUUAACUCAACUUUU